AACGAACGCUGGCGGCAUGCCUGACACAUGCAAGUCGAACGAGACCUUCGGGUCUAGUGGCGCACGGGUGCGUAACGCGUGGGAACCUGCCCUUAGGUUCGGAAUAACUCCCCGAAAGGGGUGCUAAUACCGGAUAAUGUCUUCGGACCAAAGAUUUAUCGCCUUUGGAUGGGCCCGCGUUGGAUUAGCUAGUUGGUAGGGUAAAAGCCUACCAAGGCGACGAUCCAUAGCUGGUCUGAGAGGAUGAUCAGCCACACUGGGACUGAGACACGGCCCAGACUCCUACGGGAGGCAGCAGUGGGGAAUAUUGGACAAUGGGCGAAAGCCUGAUCCAGCAAUGCCGCGUGAGUGAUGAAGGCCUUAGGGUUGUAAAGCUCUUUUACCUGGGAUGAUAAUGACAGUACCGGGAGAAUAAGCUCCGGCUAACUCCGUG
rnacentral:rRNA from 1 species